UUUUUUUUUUUUUUUAUCUCAGGUGAAUUAUAACCAUGUGAUCAAAAACGAGCACCCCCUUCCCUCUUAAGUGAAAAAGAGAGUGGGGGAACAAAAAGCAGUUCUGUGCAAAUGAAAAAAGAAAAGAAAAGAAGGGAAAUGCUUGUGUGUCUUCUCCUUUUAGUGCCACUCGUUGUCCGCGUCUCCACAAACUCUGACAUUUACAGAAAAAAAAGCUCCAGGAGCAGAGCCUCGGCCCCGGGGAUCUGCGGAGGGACUGGCCGCCUCCUGGAGUUUUAAAGCGGGGAUCUUCAGGGAGACACUCCGGGGAUUUGGCUCCCACUGUGGAGGAUGUCCGGCCCGGCCUCAGUUUGACGCUAACGUCGGUCCAAACAUGAUAAUGAUGGAUGAUCUGGCAAUCUGCACACUUUGUUCUGUGUGACAGGAAUUAGAUUAAGCAAAUUGAGACGGAUGAGAUUUCCAGAAAAACAAGAAAAAUAAAUUGUGCUUUGUGUAUUUAUAUGCUGCUGCCAUGUACUUCAGUGCUUCAAAUGUCGAUAGAUAUGUGUUUUAAAUGUUAUAAAAUAUAUAAAAGAAUAUUAUAUGAUGCUUCGUUUUGUCCUAUUAGCCCUGUUGCAUUGCCAGGAAUUAAGUAUGAAAAGCAGCUGAUUAGAAGUGGGACAAUUCAACUUAAAUAAUUAUAAUAAAAUGAUUUUUAAUGAAGUAUUUCUACAUUUUUGAAAGCAGAACAAUAUUCAGGCUGUCUAAUUAUUAACUUAACUUCAGUAAAUCUUUGUCUAAUAACUAAUAAAAUGACAAAAGCCCUCUGGCCUUGUGGUAGAUAAAAAAAGAAAAGAAAUCAGUCAAUGAUUUACUGUGCAACCUGUCUCCCUUGAAAAACAAAUUUUUAGAUUCUUGGCAUGGAUAACUAAAGAAAGAUGGUUCUUGUGUGAUUUUGUGAGAACUCAUAAUAGUACAUUUAUGUUUUAAAGUAAUUAAUGAACAUAAAAUAUGGAAACUUUAAUCAAUAAAGUAUGUAUUUGAACUCU